CUGAAGAGGAGGGGUCUUGUGAAGGUGCUGAAGGCAGAGCAGCCUUGGAGGUUCAGUGAGUGCCUGCUGAAAAGGGACCGGAGCCGAGUGGUCCAGUACGUGCACCAGGCCCUGCCGCACCUGCGCAGCCCACAGCAGCCCCUGCGAGAGGCGGCCCUCAAGUUCAUGGGGAUGGCCGGAAGGUACCUGA